rnacentral:rRNA from 1 species
AGCGAACGCUGGCGGCAGGCCUAAUACAUGCAAGUCGAGCGCACCUUCGGGUGAGCGGCGGACGGGUGAGUAACGCGUGGGAAUGUGCCCUUUGGUACGGAACAACUGAGGGAAACUUCAGCUAAUACCGUAUGUGCCCUUCGGGGAAAGGAUUUAUCGCCAUUGGAGCAGCCCGCGUUGGAUUAGGUAGUUGGUGAGGUAAAGGCUCACCAAGCCGACGAUCCAUAGCUGGCUGAGAGGAUGAUCAGCCACACUGGGACUGAGACACGGCCCAGACUCCUACGGGAGGCAGCAGUAGGGAAUCUUGCGCAAUGGGCGAAAGCCUGACGCAGCCAUGCCGCGUGAAUGAUGAA